GAAUUGACGGGGGCCCGCACAAGCGGUGGAGCAUGUGGUUUAAUUCGAGGCAACGCGAAGAACCUUACCCGGUUUUGACAUCCACGGGAGGCUUCAGAGAUGGAGCUGUGCCGGCGUAAGCUGGAGCCGUGAGACAGGUGCUGCAUGGCUGUCGUCAGCUCGUGUCGUGAGAUGUUGGGUUAAGUCCCGCAACGAGCGCAACCCUUGCCUUCAGUUACCAUCAUUAAGUUGGGGACUCUGGAGGGACCGCUGCGGUAACAACGCAGAGGAAGAUGGGGACGACGUCAAGUCAUCAUGGUCCUUAUGGCCGGGGCUACACACGUGCUACAAUGGCAGUUACAGAGGGAAGCGAUUCAGUAAUGAGGAGCGAAACUCAGAAAAGCUGCCGCAGUUCGGAUUGAGGUCUGCAACUCGGCCUCAUGAAGUCGGAAUCGCUAGUAAUCGCGCAACAUCAUGGCGCGGUGAAUACGUUCCCGGGCCUUGUACACACCG
rnacentral:rRNA from 1 species